GGUUUAGCUCAGUGGUGUAAGCGCUUGCCUUGUAAGCAUGAGAUCCUGAGUUCGAUCCCCAGAACC
rnacentral:tRNA from 1 species